rnacentral:rRNA from 1 species
UUGUCUCAAAGAUUAAGCCAUGCAUGUCUCAGUACAAGCCAUAUUAAGGUGAAACCGCGAAAGGCUCAUUAAAUCAGUUAUGGUUCCUUAGAUCGUACCCACUUUUACUUGGAUAACUGUGGUAAUUCUAGAGCUAAUACAUGCAAAUAGAGCUCCGACCGGAUGACGGGAGGAGCGCUUUUAUUAGAUCAAAACCAAUCGGUGGCGGGUUCGCCCGACAUCGUACAACUUGGUGACUCUGAAUAACUUUAAGCUGAUCGCACGGUCUCGCACCGGCGACGCAUCUUUCAAAUGUCUGCCUUAUCAACUGUCGAUGGUAGGUUCUGCGCCUACCAUGGUUGUAACGGGUAACGGGGAAUCAGGGUUCGAUUCCGGAGAGGGAGCCUGAGAAACGGCUACCACAUCCAAGGAAGGCAGCAGGCGCGCAAAUUACCCACUCCCGGCACGGGGAGGUAGUGACGAAAAAUAACGAUACGGGACUCAUCCGAGGCCCCGUAAUCGGAAUGAGUACACUCUAAACCCUUUAACGAGGAUCAAUUGGAGGGCAAGUCUGGUGCCAGCAGCCGCGGUAAUUCCAGCUCCAAUAGCGUAUAUUAAAGUUGUUGCGGUUAAAAAGCUCGUAGUCGAAUUUGUGUCCCGCGCCGCCGGUUCAUCGUCCGCGGUGCCAACUGGCGUGUCGCGGAAUGUCCUGCCGGUGGGCUUAGCGCGCAAGUGCGGCCCAAUCAAUCCUGCCACGGUGCUCUUCACUGAGUGUCGAGGUGGGCCGGCACGUUUACUUUGAACAAAUUAGAGUGCUUAAAGCAGGCUAAAACUUCGCCUGAAUACUGUGUGCAUGGAAUAAUGGAAUAGGACCUCGGUUCUAUUUUGUUGGUUUUCGGAACUCCGAGGUAAUGAUUAAUAGGAACGGAUGGGGGCAUUCGUAUUGCGACGUUANNNNUGAAAUUCUUGNNGCCGUCGCAAGACGGACAGAAGCGAAAGCAUUUGCCAAAAACGCUUUCAUUGAUCAAGAACGAAAGUUAGAGGUUCGAAGGCGAUCAGAUACCGCCCUAGUUCUAACCAUAAACGAUGCCAGCUAGCGAUCCGCCGACGUUCCUCCGAUGACUCGGCGGGCAGCUUCCGGGAAACCAAAGCUUUUGGGUUCCGGGGGAAGUAUGGUUGCAAAGCUGAAACUUAAAGGAAUUGACGGAAGGGCACCACCAGGAGUGGAGCCUGCGGCUUAAUUUGACUCAACACGGGAAACCUCACCAGGCCCGGACACCGGAAGGAUUGACAGAUUGAGAGCUCUUUCNUGAUUCGGUGGGUGGUGG